rnacentral:tRNA from 1 species
GCCCGGGUGGCGAAAUGGCAGACGCAUCAGCCUUAGGAGCUGACGAGAGCAAUCUCAUGGAGGUUCAAGUCCUCUCCCGGGCACCA